rnacentral:rRNA from 1 species
UACAGGGGGUGCAAACGUUGCUCGGAAUUAUUGGGCGGAAAGCGCGCGUAGGCGGCUACUUAAGUCGGAUGUGAAAGCCCCUGGCUCAACUGGGGAAGUGCACCCGAAACUGAGUGGCUUGAGUGCGAAAGAGGGUCGCGGAAUUCCCGGUGUAGAGGUGAAAUUCGUAGAUAUCGGGAGGAACACCGGUGGCGAAGGCGGCGACCUGGGUCGACACUGACGCUGAGGCGCGAAAGCGUGGGGAGCAAACAGG